UACGUAGGGUGCAGGCGUUAAUCGGAAUUACUGGGCGUAAAGCGUGCGCAGGCGGUUUGCUAAGACAGGUGUGAAAUCCCCGGGCUUAACCUGGGAACUGCGCUUGUUACUGGCAGGCUUGAGUGUGGCAGAGGGGGGGUGGAAUUCCACGUGUAGCAGUGAAAUGCGUAGAGAUGUGGAGGAACACCGAUGGCGAAGGCAGCCCCCCUGGGCUAACACUGACGCCUGGAGGCGCGAAAACUAGGAGAGCAAACAGG
rnacentral:rRNA from 1 species